rnacentral:rRNA from 1 species
GGCGGCUUCGGUCGUUUUUUGUUGACUCAGAAUAACUUAGCUGAUCGCAUGGUCUUGUACCGGCGACGUGUCUUUCAAGUAUCUGCCUUAUCAACUUUCGAUGGUAGUGUAUCUGACUACCAUGGUGGUGACGGGUAACGGGGGAUAAGGGUUCGACUCCGGAGAAGGGGCCUGAGAAAUGGCCACUACGUCUAAGGAUGGCAGCAGGCGCGCAAAUUACCCACUCUCGGAACGAGGAGGUAGUGAAGAGAAAUAACGAGACCGUUCUCUACGAGGCCGGUCAUCGGAAUGGGUACAAUCCAAACCCUUUAACGAGUAUCUAUGAGAGGGCAAGUCUGGUGCCAGCAGCCGCGGUAAUUCCAGCUCUCAAAAUGCAUAGAAUUAUUGCUGCGGUUAAAAAGCUCGUAGUUGAAUUUGUGCCAGGGAUUGGGUCCACCCUUGUUUGGUGCGUACUCAUCCUCCCUGGCUUGGCUGCCGGUUUUCUCGUCGUGGCCUUUAUUGUGUUGCGGCGAGUGGCUGGCGAUUUUACUUUGAACAAAUCAGAGUGCUCAACACAGGCGUUUCGCUUGAAUGUUUUUGCAUGGAAUAAUAGAAAAGGAUUUUGGUCUGAUUUUAUUGGUUUUAUUGACUGAAAUAAUGGUUAACAAGGAUAAACGGGGGCAUUCGUAUCGCUGCGUGAGAGGUGAAAUUCUUGGACCGCAGCGCGACGAACAACAGCGAAAGCAUUUGCCAAGAAUAUCUUUAUUAAUCAAGAACGAAAGUCAGAGGUUCGAAGGCGAUCAGAUACCGCCCUAGUUUUGACCGUAAACGAUGCCAACUAGCGAUCCGCCGGUGGAAAUUUUGCCCUGGUGGGGAGCUUCCCGGAAACGAAAGUCUUCCGGUUCCGGGGGAAGUAUGGUUGCAAAGCUGAAACUUAAAGGAAUUGACGGAAGGGCACCACCAGGAGUGGAGCCUGCGGCUUAAUUUGACUCAACACGGGAAAACUCACCCGGCCCGGACACCGUGAGGAUUGACAGAUUGAUAGCUUUUUCAUGAUUUGGUGGAUGGUGGUGCAUGGCCGUUCUUAGUUCGUGGAGUGAUUUGUCUGGUUUAUUCCGAUAACGAGCGAGACUCUAGCCUAUUAAAUAGUACGCACAUUGUUAUUGUGUGUUUGUGACUUCCUAAAGGGAUUUUCGGUGUACAGCCGCAAGAGAUUGAGCAAUAACAGGUCUGUGAUGCCCUUAGAUGUCCGGGGCUGCACGCGCGCUACACUGGCGAAAUCAGCGUG